ACUGCUCAGUAACACGUGGAUAACCUGCCCUAAGGUGGAGCAUAACCCCGGGAAACUGGGGAUAAUACUCCAUAGGUUAUAGAUGCUGGAAUGCUCUAUAACUCAAAGUUCCGGCGCCUUAGGAUGGAUCUGCGGUCGAUUAGGUUGUUGUUGGGGUAACGGCCCAACAAGCCUGUAAUCGAUACGGGUUGUGGGAGCAAGAGCCCGGAGAUGGAAUCUGAGACACGAUUCCAGGCCCUACGGGGCGCAGCAGGCGCGAAAACUUUACAAUGCAGGAAACUGUGAUAAGGGAACCCCGAGUGCCCGUAUACGCGGGCUGUCCAGGUGUUUAAAACGCACCUGAAGAAAGGGCCGGGCAAGACCGGUGCCAGCCGCCGCGGUAAUACCGGCGGCUCGAGUGGUGGCCACUUUUAUUGGGCUUAAAGCGUCCGUAGCUGGACUCCUAAGUCCCUUGGGAAAUCUCUUGGCUUAACCAAGAGGCGUCUAAGAGAUACUGGGAGUCUAGGGACCGGGAGAGGUGAGAGGUACUCCGGGGGUAGGAGUGAAAUCCUGUAAUCCCCGGGGGACCACCUGUGGCGAAGGCGUCUCACCAGAACGGCUCCGACAGUGAGGGACGAAAGCUGGGGGAGCGAACCGGAUUAGAUACCCGGGUAGUCCCAGCCGUAAACGAUGCGCGUUAGGUGUACUGGUGACCACGAGUCACCGGGAUGCCGAAGGGAAACCGUGAAACGUGCCGCCUGGGAAGUACGGUCGCAAGGCUGAAACUUAAAGGAAUUGGCGGGGGAGCAC
rnacentral:rRNA from 1 species